rnacentral:rRNA from 1 species
CAGCAGCCGCGGGAAUACGUAGGUCCCGAGCGUUGUCCGGAUUUAUUGGGCGUAAAGCGAGCGCAGGCGGUCAAUUAAGUCUGAUGUGAAAGCCCCCGGCUCAACCGGGGAGGGUCAUUGGAAACUGGUUGACUUGAGUGCAGAAGAGGAGAGUGGAAUUCCAUGUGUAGCGGUGAAAUGCGUAGAUAUAUGGAGGAACACCAGUGGCGAGGGCGACUCUCUGGUCUGUAACUGACGCUGAGGCUCGAAAGCGUGGGUAGCAAACAGGAUUAGAUACCCCGGUAGUCCCUGUCUCUUAUAC